AUUGAACGCUGGCGGCAGGCCUAACACAUGCGAGUCGAACGGUAACAGGAAACAGCUUGCUGUUUCGCUGACGAGUGGCGGACGGGUGAGUAAUGUCUGGGAAACUGCCUGAUGGAGGGGGAUAACUACUGGAAACGGUAGCUAAUACCGCAUAACGUCGCAAGGCCAAAGAGGGGGACCUUCGGGCCUCUUGCCAUCGGAUGUGCCCAGAUGGGAUUAGCUAGUAGGUGGGGUAACGGCUCACCUAGGCGACGAUCCCUAGCUGGUCUGAGAGGAUGACCAGGCACACUGGAACUGAGACACGGUCCAGGCUCCUACGGGGAGCAGCAGUGGGGAAUAUUGCACAAUGGGCGCAAGCCUGAGGCAGCCAUGCCGCGUGUAUGAAGAAGGCCUUCGGGUUGUAAAGUACUUUCAGCGGGGAGGAAGGGAGUAAAGUUGAUACCUUUGCUCAUUGACGUUACCCGCAGAAGAAGCACCGGCUAACUCCUUGCCAGCCGCCGCGGUAA
rnacentral:rRNA from 1 species